CCUACGGGAGGCAGCAGUGAGGAAUAUUGGUCAAUGGACGAGAGUCUGAACCAGCCAAGUAGCGUGAAGGAUGACUGCCCUAGGGGUUGUAAACUUCUUUUAUAUGGGAAUAAAAUGUUCCACGUGUCGGAUUUUGUAUGUACCAUCUGAAUCAGGAUCGGCUAACUCCGUGCCAGCAGCCGCGGUAAUACGGAGGAUCCGAGCGUUAUCCGGAUUUAUUGGGUUUAAAGGGAGCGUAGGUGGCUUGUUAAGUCAGGUGUGAAAGUUUGCGGCUCAACCGUAAAAUUGCAGUUGAAACUGGCAGUCUUGAGUACAGUAGAGGUGGGCGGAAUUCGUGGUGUAGCGGUGAAAUGCUUAGAUAUCACGAAGAACUCCGAUUGCGAAGGCAGUUCACUGGACUGCAACUGACACUGAGGCUCGAAAGUGUGGGUAGCAAACAGGAUUAGAUACCCUUGUAGUC
rnacentral:rRNA from 1 species